ACAAGAGAGAGUUCCUCCUCCAAUACAGCAUCCUCUCACUCCCUCCUCCUGACGCUCUUAGGGAGACGCUAGAUAUAUUCACAACUCAGAAAGGCAACAAAGGUUUGGAGUUAUUGAAAAAGGGUCCUCCAGCCCACAGCUCCAGGAGGGUAGUGAUCACUCAUAAUCCGAAUAAAGCUGAGAAGGUGGAGCUGAGGAAGGCGGAGCAACGCUGGACGAGACAAGCAGCAAGAGGAGACGCUCCAGGUGGAGAUAGCACUGACCCUGCCACUGAAGAACUGUUUAGGAAGUUCCAGGUAGA